rnacentral:rRNA from 1 species
AUUGAACGCUGGCGGCAGGCUUAACACAUGCAAGUCGAGCGGGGUGAUGGUGCUUGCACUAUCACUUAGCGGCGGACGGGUGAGUAAUGCUUAGGAAUCUGCCUAUUAGUGGGGGACAACAUCUCGAAAGGGAUGCUAAUACCGCAUACGUCCUACGGGAGAAAGCAGGGGAUCACUCGUGACCUUGCGCUAAUAGAUGAGCCUAAGUCGGAUUAGCUAGUUGGUGGGGUAAAGGCCUACCAAGGCGACGAUCUGUAGCGGGUCUGAGAGGAUGAUCCGCCACACUGGGACUGAGACACGGCCCAGACUCCUACGGGAGGCAGCAGUGGGGAAUAUUGGACAAUGGGGGGAACCCUGAUCCAGCCAUGCCGCGUGUGUGAAGAAGGCCUUAUGGUUGUAAAGCACUUUAAGCGAGGAGGAGGCUCUUUUGGUUAAUACCCAAGAUGAGUGGACGUUACUCGCAGAAUAAGCACCGGCUAACUCCGUGCCAGCAGCCGCCGUAA